UCAAGGUAUGGAAGCUUAAUAUCAUUUGGUUAGUGAAUUCAGUAUUAUGGAAUAAACUUGUUUCUGUAAUUUAAUGCAUCACACCAAUGGGAAGGCGGAUCCUGAAGUCAGCCCUUGGAAUUUGUACAGCAGUCAAGGGUUUAGUUUCCUGAUCAGAUAGGAAGAGGGCAAUUAUUGGGGAUUUGGUGACUUAUGUGCUUCAAUUUUCUCCCUAGCUAAUUAAGAUGGUCAGUAUUGCUGCCAGUGGACACUUAUGAUGCGAAUGUCAGAAAAAUCCUCAAUCAUGGCAGGCAAUUUCACAUUUCUUGUGUUACUUGCACGAAUUUGGGAAGGCAUUUAUACA